rnacentral:rRNA from 1 species
UAACAGGAUUAGAUACCCUGGUAGUCCACGCCGUAAACGAUGUCGACUUGGAGGUUGUUCCCUUGAGGAGUGGCUUCCGGAGCUAACGCGUUAAGUCGACCGCCUGGGGAGUACGGCCGCAAGGUUAAAACUCAAAUGAAUUGACGGGGGCCCGCACAAGCGGUGGAGCAUGUGGUUUAAUUCGAUGCAACGCGAAGAACCUUACCUACUCUUGACAUCCAGAGAACUUAGCAGAGAUGCUUUGGUGCCUUCGGGAACUCUGAGACAGGUGCUGCAUGGCUGUCGUCAGCUCGUGUUGUGAAAUGUUGGGUUAAGUCCCGCAACGAGCGCAACCCUUAUCCUUUGUUGCCAGCGAUUCGGUCGGGAACUCAAAGGAGACUGCCGGUGAUAAACCGGAGGAAGGUGGGGAUGACGUCAAGUCAUCAUGGCCCUUACGAGUAGGGCUACACACGUGCUACAAUGGCGCAUACAAAGAGAAGCGACCUCGCGAGAGCAAGCGGACCUCAUAAAGUGCGUCGUAGUCCGGAUCGGAGUCUGCAACUCGACUCCGUGAAGUCGGAAUCGCUAGUAAUCGUGGAUCAGAAUGCCACGGUGAAUACGUUCCCGGGCCUUGUACACACCGCCCGUCACACCAUGGGAGUGGGUUGCAAAAGAAGUAGGUAGCUUAACCUUCGGGAGGGCGCUUACCACUUUGUGAUUCAUGACUGGGGUGAAGUCGUAA